GAGCCAAGUGGGAGGAGCGGAAGAGCGCAGAUUGGAAGAUCUGCGUAGAGAAACACAGAAGUUUGGGGAAGGGGAGGGGUCCGGGUGAAUUCCUCUCGGCUGCCACCCGCGUGUUCUACAACGGCCAGGGCACCGGAGCCUCCGGAGCUGGGACAGGAGUGAAUCCCAACGGAGCUGGACUGGAGCGAGAACGGUGCUGCCACCCGCCGCUCGCCCUUGGGAAUGUGGCUCCCCAGGUCCAGUGACCCUUUGGCCUGGGACCUGUGGGUGGCUGACUGGUCCCGUGGGUGACUGACUGGUGUAGACCGUAAACACCCGGAGUCACUGUCUCUGGGGGCUUGGACGGAUUCCUGGGGUCUGGGACGCAUGAAGUAGCAGAGGGCGGCGAAGGGCACAACGCGCAGGGCUAGAUGUGUCUGGCCGCGGUGCUCCACGAGGCCCUUGUCUAGGAGAAGCAAGCAGAGCCUGGUCGAUCACCCUCAGCCCAAGUCCGGCGCUGGAUGCCCUUUAUUUUUGCAGUCCUCCAUACCCGCCUCAGGCCUCGCUUUCCCGAGAGGAGGAGGCGGACUUCGGGAGCCUGAUCUCAAGCUAUGCUUGGCGCGCGGCUGUGGCUUGUGGCCUGGAGCUGUGGCCCCAGGCGCCCUGGGCGACGGGGAGGCGUGGCGAGACCACCUGUCAGCACCACGGAGUUUGGGGGACGCGGCUUUCACCUGUGCCUGCAGAGGGCGGGGCCAGAGGCUGGGCCGGGAUUUGUCGCUGGAAGCUCUAGGUCGCCUACUAUAAAAUGCUUGCAUGGGUCAAUUACCCAAAAGAAGGGUUGACUAAAAAUACCCUAAAGCCUAGACAUUUCUGCAUCUUCUAAUGCGAACGGUCACAAAGGGACUGGCCAAAAUCCAGCCUGUUUCAGAAGAAACACCGAGCCUUCGAAUUUGUUUUCCAGAGACUUGGGAGCAUUUAUAAACGAGAGCUGGAAAAGCAAACGUGGGUCUGCCCUGCUCUAGCUAGCACAGUUUUAAAGAACAUUUGCCUGUCCUGGAAGUCAUUUUCCUAAACACAGAUAAUUCUGGGGAAGUGGAAGCAGAAGAUCAGCAGUUCACGGCCAGCCUGGGCUACACACAUCCCCGUCUCAAAACAAGAAGGUCAUUUUCAUGUUCUCUUGCAGACCAAAGUGUCAAAUGAACUACAGCUGGAGUCCUGGGUGAAUGACUGCUCUGAUGUGGGUACUGGGAACCAGACUCAGGUCCUCUGCCAAGAGCAGUGAGUACUCAGACUUACUGGUGAGAUAGUGUGCCAGCCCCACGAACCCAACUCGUUAAACUACUCCUUUGGGUCACAUUUCUUCCUUUUUUGUUUCAUAUGUUUUGCCUGCACAUAUAUCUGCACCAUAUGUAUAAUCUAUUUUCAGAGGCCAAAAAGAGGACAUAGGAUCCCUUGAAAGUGGAGUACAGGUGUUUGUAAGCCACCAUGUAGUUGCUGGGAAUCGAACCCAGGUCCUCUGAAAGAGCAGCCAGU
rnacentral:lncRNA from 1 species